rnacentral:rRNA from 1 species
AGGACCCUGUCCUCCUAUUUUCAGUUGGUUUGCCGCGAGGACCAGGGUAAUGAUUAAUAGGGAUAGUUGGGGGCAUUAAUAUUUAAUUGUCAGAGGUGAAAUUCUUGGAUUUAUGAAAGAUUAACUUCUGCGAAAGCAUCUGCCAAGGAUGUUUUCAUUAAUCAAGAACGAAAGUUAGGGGAUCGAAGACGAUCAGAUACCGUCGUAGUCUUAACCAUAAACGAUGCCGACCAGCGAUUAGGAGACGUUGAAUACAAAACACCACCAUGCGCAUUGCGGUCGUCUUUGGUGUCGCUCACAAGGCGGCACCGGGGCGGCUUAGCUCGCAUGGCACCGGUGAAU